rnacentral:misc_RNA from 1 species
UGCGAAUAUUGCAUCCGCUUGCAGGAGGCAAGAGCCAAGAGGAUUGUUCAAUUUGUACAGGUGAGAAAAGGUUAGGCGGGUUUUGCAAGUGGUGCGGCAUGGUCAAUACAGCAGCUGCCACAACCGCCAAUUUGCCGCCAGAAUGGUAAUGGCCCCGCCAAUCAGAUAGCGUGACGUACUAUGAGUGCCGGCAGAGACUUCCACAGCUUCUGGAUACUGCCCAUUUGCCGAUUUCAGACUGGUAGCAGAAGGGGAAGGACAAAAUGUAAUGGCAUAGUCGGCUCCAGCGCAAGUAAAAGUGCUUGUUCCAUCGUCAUAGGCAUAGCUAUAAGCUCGAGGGCAAACAUUUUUAAAGAACUCAGAGUAAGAGCUGGGCUUGCACGUACUAGGAUUCGCGUAAGCCCCACUACAGCAAUAUUGCGGCUCUCCAAAUGCGUCGCACGCACUCUUACACGCCACGCUCUCCCCGUUUUCACUGUCCAUUACCUUCAGUUCCGACGGGCAUGCAUCAAGUCCCCACCCCAGCCGGUAAUUGUACAAUUACCUCCGGUUCCGCCUUGUGGUGCUAUUAGCAUAGGUAGGUUGUAUCCGUCGACAAGGCUGACAUCGUAGAAGUCAAGCCCGUCAGCUCCAUUGAGGGUGAAUUCUGCAAGGGUGGCAGGAGGAAUAGCACCGUCACCGGAGCAUUGGAUGGUGGAUGAGCCACAGUCACCGGUCAGGCAAGUAAAUUUGCCAGUGGUGGCAUCUUGGGUGCACAAAGUUCGACCCCAUAAACGGCCAGACCAGGAGGCUGGCACGGAGAUGGAGUUUGAUUCACCUGGUUGAAGAGCGAAGCCUGUGGUGGGAAGUUGUGGAGUGCCAGCAUUUGAAAGUAAGCCUGGCCAAACUUGGUAGCUGCACUUGUUUGUGAUUGUAAACGUAGCCGAAUAUGCAGCUGAAAACAAGAGAAGGAAACUAAGGAAGAACAGAGGAAUGAGUAGCAGAGCAGUGGCCAUUGGAGAAUUUAGCGCGAGUGUUG